rnacentral:rRNA from 1 species
CCUACUGCUAUCGGGGUGGGACUAAGACAUGCGAGUUGAGCGUCUCUAAGCUAUGGUAGAGACGCGGCGUACGGCUCAGUAACACGUGGCUAACCUACCCUUAGGACGGGGAAAACCCCGGGAAGCUGGGGCUGAUACCCGAUAGGUGAGGAGGCCUGGAAUGGUUCCUAGUCGAAAAGGCGUUGAAACCAUGCUUUUCGACGUCGCCUAAGGAUGGGGCCGCGCCCGAUCAGGUUGCUGGUGGGGUAACGGCUCACCAAGCCUAUAACCGGUACGGGCCGUGAGAGCGGGAGCCCGGAGAUGGGCACUGAGACAAGGGCCCAGGCCCUACGGGGCGCAGCAGUCGCGAAAACUCCGCAAUGCGCGAAAGCGUGACGGGGCUACCCCGAGUGCCGUCCGCUGAGGAUGGCUUUUCCCCGGUGUAAUGAGCCGGGGGAAUAAGGAGAGGACAAGUCUGGUGUCAGCCGCCGCGGUAAUACCAGCUCUCCGAGUGGUAGGGACGAUUAUUGGGCCUAAAGCGUUCGUAGCCGGCUUGGCAGGUCUCUCGUUAAAUCCAGUGACCUAAUCGCUGGGCUGCGGGAGAUACUGUCAGGCUUGGGAGCGGAAGAGGUCGACGGUAUUCUCGGGGUAGGGGUGAAAUCCUGUAAUCCCGGGAGGACCACCAGUGGCGAAGGCUGUCGACUAGAACGCGUCCGACGGUGAGGGACGAAAGCUGGGGGGAGCGAACCGGAUUAGAUACCCGGGUAGUCCCAGCUGUAAACUAUGCGGGCUAGGUGUCAGUGUGGCUACGAGCCACUCUGGUGCCGCAGGGAAGCUCAUAAGCCCGCCGCCUGGGAAGUACGGUCGCAAGGCUGAAACUUAA